GACGAACGCUGGCGGCGUGCCUAAUACAUGCAAGUCGAACGCUUCUUUCCUCCCGAGUGCUUGCACUCAAUUGGAAAGAGGAGUUGCGGACGGGUGAGUAACACGUGGGUAACCUACCCAUCAGAGGGGGAUAACACCUGAAAACAGGUGCUAAUACCGCAUGACAGUUUAUGCCGCAUGGCAUAAGAGUGACAGACGCUUUCGGAGGUCGUUGAUGGGUGGACCCGCGGUGCAUUAGCUAGUUGGUGAGGUAACGGCUCGCCAAGGCCACGAUGCAUAGCCGACCUGAGAGGGUGAUCGGCCACACUGGGACUGAGACACGGCCCAGACUCCUACGGGAGGCAGCAGUAGGGAAUCUUCGGCAAUGGACGAAAGUCUGACCGAGCAACGCCGCGUGAGUGAAGAAGGUUUUCGGAUCGUAAAACUCCGUUGUUAGAGAAGAACAAGGACGUUAGUAACUGAACGUCCCCUGACGGUAUCUAAACAGAAAGCAACGGCUAACUACGUG
rnacentral:rRNA from 1 species